rnacentral:rRNA from 1 species
AACGAACGCUGGCGGCAUGCCUAACACAUGCAAGUCGAACGAGACCUUCGGGUCUAGUGGCGCACGGGUGCGUAACGCGUGGGAACCUGCCCUUAGGUUCGGAAUAACUCCCCGAAAGGGGUGCUAAUACCGGAUAAUGUCUUCGGACCAAAGACUUAUCGCCUUUGGAUGGGCCCGCGUUGGAUUAGCUAGUUGGUAGGGUAAAAGCCUACCAAGGCGACGAUCCAUAGCUGGUCUGAGAGGAUGAUCAGCCACACUGGGACUGAGACACGGCCCAGACUCCUACGGGAGGCAGCAGUGGGGAAUAUUGGACAAUGGGCGAAAGCCUGAUCCAGCAAUGCCGCGUGAGUGAUGAAGGCCUUAGGGUUGUAAAGCUCUUUUACCCGGGAUGAUAAUGACAGUACCGGGAGAAUAAGCGCCGGCUAACUCCGUG